rnacentral:misc_RNA from 1 species
AAGGAUCAUUAACAAAUCAUUGUCGGGGGAGAGGCGGGCGCAAGCCAGCCUCCAACCCCCACAUAUAAACCCGAACCUGUGCAGCAAUGCCAGGCUAGGUGUAGGAUCCCUUAAACCCGGGUCCUGCGGUGAAGGGCGUGGCCUCUCGAGGCCUAGUCCGGAUCCACAUAGACGCGCUUGUUUUUGUUUGACAGUUUUAGUUGACACACAAUCAAAAUGACAACUUUUAACAAUGGAUCUCUUGGCUCUU